UCGAGUGUCCCAAACUGCUUUAUGGAAUACAGAGAUCACUCCACCGAUCAGUGGAAGGAGUCAUGGUGAUAGCACUAACAGUGCUCUGCUCCAGAUCCACGCACAAGAUGAGGAAUAUUCCUCUCGCUGAAGCUACAAAGGUCGUUAAAGAGUCUGCAGUUGCCAAGCAACACCCAACAGCAUCAUCUGAAACAGCCUGGGUGAACUCAGAGCGUGCCGGCUGAGCUGGAGUCACCAAAGUGAGAACUCAGGCUCCAGGCAGCGAGGUGAAUUUUAUCACUGGGCCAGCAGAAUUUAAAAUCUUGAUUUCAGGUUUUCUGUAGGUGACACUCACAACAGAUGUGUUACACAGGACAGAAAGAACCCCAGAAGUUUUAUUUGUCCUAAGGAAUGAGUAGACCUCGAAACGUGGCCUUCUGCUUACAAGUUACAGGAAGAUGCCACCACAAACGACCUGAGAAGCAACUGUAGCCUGCUAUUGUGUAAAAGAUGCAGAUGGGGUUUUUGCAAUUUGCAGGAGUACUAACUAACAUAAAAAAGGAGUUUCACACAACAGAACACAGCCUGUGACUGAUCAGCACUGUUGGAAUGAGCCACUCAUGACAGUACAAAAUGGAGGUUUACUGGGAAAAAUGUAGAAACAGCUAAAACUACUGUGAUACCGAAAUGAAGUCAAACAAAGGAGAGUAGAACAGUAACAAGAACAACAACAACAAAAAAAUAAAAUUAAGAAUUGUUUUCAUGUUUUUAUUUCA